CCCUCUAUGAAAUAAACAAAAAUAACAAUAAAAAGCCCAUGAGACCAAGAACAAGCAUCCACAAAAGACACCCAUCAUUAAAUAUACCAAUCAAAAGUCAGCAAUGUCUACCUUGAAGCAACAGCUAAUGGACCACAAGUUCUAACUCAUUAAGGAAUCGAAAGAAACAGAGAAAGAUACAAAGAAACAGAGGAGACAAAUGGUUGAUGAAUUAUUUGCCUGUAGUAACAGGAUAGCCAAUCCCAUGCCUUCUAGUUGGGAAAACAACAAACAACAAGCUACAGAUGAGCCCAAUCCCAAUUGGAACAAUAUCCAAAACCUCUUGAGUCUCAUGUUUAGGCAUAGGAUAGAAGCAACUCACCGCAUUCUUGUCCCUCAAAGCCACAGCAACAAACACCAGCACAGAUAAAACAGCAUGAACCCCAUCAAUGAAUCUAAUCUUGUACUUGCUCAAAUCUUUCAGGUCGAAUAAACUUGCAGGAUCUGGACAAUCAAACAGAAAAAUCCCUUUAAAAGUUGCAAAACCAUAGUAGACUUGCCCAUCUGAUGACUUCACACUAUCUGUAAAUGAAGCAAGAAAGCAAGAAAUUGCAAGAAGCGCAAAAAGAAGGAGGGACAAAGGGCGUGUAGCAGAGUCACAGGCACCAUUAUUGGUAAAGAUUGGG
rnacentral:misc_RNA from 1 species